GACGAACGCUGGCGGCGUGCUUAACACAUGCAAGUCGAACGGAAAGGCCCUGCUUUUGUGGGGUGCUCGAGUGGCGAACGGGUGAGUAACACGUGAGUAACCUGCCCUUGACUUUGGGAUAACUUCAGGAAACUGGGGCUAAUACCGGAUAGGAGCUCCUGCUGCAUGGUGGGGGUUGGAAAGUUUCGGCGGUUGGGGAUGGACUCGCGGCUUAUCAGCUUGUUGGUGGGGUAGUGGCUUACCAAGGCUUUGACGGGUAGCCGGCCUGAGAGGGUGACCGGCCACAUUGGGACUGAGAUACGGCCCAGACUCCUACGGGAGGCAGCAGUGGGGAAUAUUGCACAAUGGGCGGAAGCCUGAUGCAGCAACGCCGCGUGCGGGAUGACGGCCUUCGGGUUGUAAACCGCUUUCGCCUGUGACGAAGCGUGAGUGACGGUAAUGGGUAAAGAAGCACCGGCUAACUACGUGCCAGCAGCCGCGGUGAUACGUAGGGUGCGAGCGUUGUCCGGAUUUAUUGGGCGUAAAGGGCUCGUAGGUGGUUGAUCGCGUCGGAAGUGUAAUCUUGGGGCUUAACCCUGAGCGUGCUUUCGAUACGGGUUGACUUGAGGAAGGUAGGGGAGAAUGGAAUUCCUGGUGGAGCGGUGGAAUGCGCAGAUAUCAGGAGGAACACCAGUGGCGAAGGCGGUUCUCUGGGCCUUUCCUGACGCUGAGGAGCGAAAGCGUGGGGAGCGAACAGGCUUAGAUACCCUGGUAGUCCACGCUGUAAACGGUGGGUACUAGGUGUAGGGUCCAUUCCACGGGUUCCGUGCCGUAGCUAACGCUUUAAGUACCCCGCCUGGGGAGUACGGCCGCAAGGCUAAAACUCAAAGGAAUUGACGGGGCCCCGCACAAGCGGCGGAGCAUGCGGAUUAAUUCGAUGCAACGCGUAGAACCUUACCUGGGUUUGACAUGGAUCGGGAGUGCUCAGAGAUGGGUGUGCCUCUUUUGGGGUCGGUUCACAGGUGGUGCAUGGCUGUCGUCAGCUCGUGUCGUGAGAUGUUGGGUUAAGUCCCGCAACGAGCGCAACCCUUGUUCACUGUUGCCAGCACGUUAUGGUGGGGACUCAGUGGAGACCGCCGGGGUCAACUCGGAGGAAGGUGGGGAUGACGUCAAGUCAUCAUGCCCCUUAUGUCCAGGGCUUCACGCAUGCUACAAUGGCUGGUACAGAGAGUGGCGAGCCUGUGAGGGUGAGCGAAUCUCGGAAAGCCGGUCUCAGUUCGGAUUGGGGUCUGCAACUCGACCUCAUGAAGUCGGAGUCGCUAGUAAUCGCAGAUCAGCAACGCUGCGGUGAAUACGUUCCCGGGGCU
rnacentral:rRNA from 1 species